UGAUGUCUUACUUUAAGGCGGCUGUCUGUUGCCUAGGAUUGCAUGCCAUUCUCGCAACCGAAGUGGGUUUCUCUGAAGACAGCACACCCUGGGAUUCUCUUCUGUUUAUACUCCCCCACAACCACAGCUUUUUCAAUCAAUCUGCACUUUGUGCAAAACUGAGCUCUCGAUACUGUUUCGCCGGAAAGAUAUCUCUGAAAAAAGUUAGCAACCGCGAACCGCGAGAUGAUGAUUUCCCCGAAUUUGUGCUCAGAAUGAAAAAAAUCUAUUUGCUGAUAAACUGGUUCUCAAUGACACAACUUAUGCCCUCAGAGAUGGGCUCCUGCUGCUUCGCUCAACUGACAUUUUAUCGUAAAUACGGGUCAUUUAAAGGAGUUUCCCCUCAGGCUUAUGUGCAGUCGGUCGCGAACUUUUCGGCAUAUGAGAAACAACUAAAUAUUGUCCACGCAAAAUAUUAUCGUCAUUUAUGCGUCAAUGUGAUAUCAGGUCUUGGUUUUGGGCUGGGAAAGAUGGAAUCUCGAGGCACGAUACACCAAGCACCAUUCGUUUUGACUCCAAAUAAUAAGAAAAUGAUUCAUUUUUUCUCUUAUGGCGAUAUCAGAAAUCAGCUUACAUUUGAUUGGUUCAAACUGAAUGUACUGUGUGAUGAACAUCCGUGGAUCUGUAUAAAAUAUCCCCCACACAUUUUUCAUCAUUCCAA